GGUGCAGUUACACCCUUUGCCAAUGUUAUGGUUGAGGAUUGUGCCUGAAUUCCUCAACCCAAUUCAGGUAGGAAGAAUCCAGGUAAAUCUAGGGAUAACUAAAAACAGGAGAAGUGGUAGGUAGUAAAGUAAGGAACUUGGAAGUGAGUGAUAACACCAGGAAAACAAUGUUGUUUUUUUUUUUUCAUCAACAGUAUCUCAAGGCAAGAGAAUGACCAACAUUAGUUUUUGUUCCCUCUGGAAGACCGCCAGCACUGCUUCCUUCUGAGAAAUGUCCAUUGCACUGAAGAUGUGAGACAUUAGAUCAAGCUCACAAUCAAGGAAAGAAAAUUGUAUAAGGCAACUGAGAAGAUAUUAUCAACAGUAGUAUCUGCCAGUAAGAAAGAAAGGAAGAGGAAAAAAUAAACCAAACCAGUGGUGUGAUUUCAUCAAAAUGAUACUCUACAGGAGGGCUUCUCCGGAGGAGAGGGAAGGAGUAUGAGAAACACAUGGGGGUGUUUCUCAGACUGUAAUAGCAGAGGUGUGAUCUCCAGCCAAGAAGCAUCUGCAGAGUCCUUUCUGGCAGAGGUAAAGGAAGCUCAGAGAUUCUGUUUAGCAUUGCUGUGUUGAACAUCAUCCCUAUGUGUGUAUCUGAACUUUCACGUCAGUCCCAUGCAGCCUGACCACACACACUCACACACAGGCUCAGUGCAUCUACAUGUGCUCUUACACUCUCACACAUGAGCACUCCCACUCACAUUUACUCAUUCGCACUGUCCUUCACACUCAUGCCCCCGUUCAAUUACACUUCCCCUCCUACGCCAGCAGAGAGAUAUAAAUCCUAUAGGAAUUAAAAAUAGAUGUUCAAAAUUCCCCUUUAAAUAAAUCUUUAAUUGCCAGCAGAUGGAUUAUGGACUUGAUAUUUACAUUUUGAGAGGUUUCCAAUUACAAUAAAAUCUACCAGCAUUUUUCACUCUAUAUGGAGCCAUUCACUUGUAUUUGGAACACAAUUCAAUUUUCCAAAUUUGGCUAAACUAAACAUUUUAGGAACACAAAUAUCCAUCAAAAGGAGGUAGAUUUACAACUGGGCAAAGUGCAAUGUUUGCACAUUUAUUUUCUCCUCUGAGACAUUAUCAAUUUUGACCAAAAAAAUAUUUUUCUCUCUCUGAAAAUUAGGCACCUGAUACACUCUCAUUGACCGUAUGAAUACUGUUAGGUCUCUGACUUCUUUUCUUAAGUUUUCAAAUUAAAAAAAAAAUUUUUUUUUGAAGUAUAGUUUAUUUACAAUGUUGUGUUACUUUCUGUUGUACAGCAAAUUGAUUCAGAUAUACAUGUAUAUAUGUUCUUUUUAAGAUUAUUAUUUCAGAUUAUAAUGCAUUUAGGUUAUUACAAAUUAUUGAAUCUAGUUCCCUAUGCCAUACAAUAGGUCCUUGUUUAUCUAUUUUAUAUAUAAUAAUUUAUAUAUAUUAAUCACAAGCUCUUAAUUUAUCCUUCCCGCCUUUCUCCUUUGGUAACCUUAAGUUUGUUUUCUAUGUCUAUGAGUAUGUUUCUGUUUUGUAAAUAAGUUCAUUUGUAUCAUUUUUA